ACCGUAGUCGUCUUACCCCUGAAAUCUUAGAGGCCUUGAUGUGUUCACAAGAUUGGAUAAGAAACAAAUAUAAAGAUGCUGACAAUGAAGAUGGACAAAGCUUUUGGAGUUGUCUUCAAGACAUUCAAGAGGGAAUGCAGGACUUGGCACUCUGAAUUGGCAUGCUUUGAAGAUUGUCUUUUGGAGGCUUGGAGAUGUGAAAGAUGCCAUGAUGAUGACCACUUUAAAUUGAUUUGUGAACUACAAAAUCUAUUUUAGAACUUAUGUAUUGGACAAUUUCGUAUCA